AGCCAAUUGCCAUUAUUUCGUCAUGAUGGAAUUAAAAAUUCCGAAGUUUAUCGACACGUUGUGGAAAUGAAAGAGUACGGAGACUCAGAAGUUUUUCAACUUAUGAUUAACUCAUUCCAAUUUUCGAGCAAACCUGUAGAAGUAUCCUAUCAAGCAGGCGUGUUUUAUUUGGAUGCGGGUAGUAUUCUACAAGUAUCUAUGACCAGUCCUUUACUCAACCAACAUAUUGAGAAAUUUGGAGUCCGUGACAGGAUGGAGUUUGGACUAUAUCUACUUUGAGUGAAACUAUGUUUCUAUCAAUAGAAAUGAUUAUAUUAUAGAAUGCGUAAUACAUAAAGAGCAAGAAUAUUAAAUGAAUGACAACGAAUAAACAGGCCAUAAAUUGAGUAAAACAAGACUGAGGAAAUAUGAAAAACUCUCAUGUUACUGUGAUAUGAGUGUUGUUAUGAAACAAGUUCUUGACGGUUAAGUAUUGUCGGACGACAUUUUGAUCGAGAUUGUCUUUAUGAAUAGGUUGUCCUGUUUUCGACUACUUUACUGAAA